GCUCCUAUAGUGUAGCCCGGUCAAUCACUCUGCCUUUUCGAGGCAGGAACAGGGGUUCGAAUCCCCUUAGGAGCA
rnacentral:tRNA from 1 species